rnacentral:misc_RNA from 1 species
GAAAUGCGAUAACUAGUGUGAAUUGCACAAUUCCGUGAAUCAUCGAGUCUUUGAACGCACAUUGCGCCCCCUGGUAUUCCGGGGGGCAUGCCUGUCCGAGCGUCAUUGCUGCCCAUCAAGCACGGCUUGUGUGUUGGGUCGUCGUCCCCUCUCCGGGGGGGACGGGCCCCAAAGGCAGCGGCGGCACCGCGUCCGAUCCUCGAGCGUAUGGGGCUUUGUCACCCGCUCUGUAGGCCCGGCCGGCGCUUGCCGAACGCAAAUCAAUCUUUUUCCAGGUUGACCUCGGAUCAGGUAGGGAUACCCGCUGAACUUAAGC